CACGUAGGGCGCAAGCGUUGUCCGGAAUUAUUGGGCGUAAAGAGCUCGUAGGCGGUUUGUCGCGUCUGCUGUGAAAACCCGAGGCUCAACCUCGGGCCUGCAGUGGGUACGGGCAGACUAGAGUGCGGUAGGGGAGAUUGGAAUUCCUGGUGUAGCGGUGGAAUGCGCAGAUAUCAGGAGGAACACCAAUGGCGAAGGCAGAUCUCUGGGCCGUAACUGACGCUGAGGAGCGAAAGCAUGGGGAGCGAACAGGA
rnacentral:rRNA from 1 species